GAUGAACGCUGGCGGCGUGCUUAACACAUGCAAGUCGAACGAUGAACCCGGAGCUUGCUCCGGUGGAUUAGUGGCGAACGGGUGAGUAACACGUGAGUAACCUGCCCUUGACUCUGGGAUAACUGCGGGAAACUGUAGCUAAUACCGGAUACGACCCUCGGCGGCAUCGCCAGGGGGUGGAAAGAAUUUCGGUCAAGGAUGGACUCGCGGCCUAUCAGCUAGUUGGUGAGGUAACGGCUCACCAAGGCGACGACGGGUAGCCGGCCUGAGAGGGUGACCGGCCACACUGGGACUGAGACACGGCCCAGACUCCUGCGGGAGGCAGCAGUGGGGAAUAUUGCACACAGGGCGCAAGCCUGAUGCAGCAACGCCGCGUGAGGGAUGACGGCCUUCGGGUUGUAAACCUCUUUUAGUAGGGAAGAAGCCGCAAGGUGACGGUACCUGCAGAAGAAGCACCGGCUAACUACGUGCCAGCCGCCGCAGUAA
rnacentral:rRNA from 1 species